CUAUCUUACAGCGACAUUCCAGGGACA
rnacentral:piRNA from 1 species